rnacentral:rRNA from 1 species
UACGAAGGGGGCGAGCGUUGUUCGGAAUUACUGGGCGUAAAGGGCGCGUAGGCGGCGAGCUAAGUCAGGUGUGAAAGUCCUGGGCUUAACCUGGGGACUGCAUUUGAUACUGGGUUGCUUGAAUUCGGGAGAGGAUAGCGGAAUUCCCAGUGUAGAGGUGAAAUUCGUAGAUAUUGGGAAGAACACCGGUGGCGAAGGCGGCUAUCUGGACCGACAUUGACGCUGAGGCGCGAAAGCGUGGGGAGCAAACAGG